UGCACUGCAGCCUGGGCAACAGAAUGAGACUGUCUCAAUCAGUCAAUCAAUCAAUAAAAUAAAACUUAUGAAUUGUUUAUUUCUGGGAUUUUCCAUUAAAUUUUUUUUGGACUGCAGUUGACCUCAGGUAACUGAAACUACGGAAGACAAAACCUCAGAUAAGGGGGGACUACUGUAACCCUUUUAGACACAGUGCCCAAACUUAAUAAAAUUGUGGCCUACAAAAUACCAGUUUUCCACAGUGAAGAGCUUGGAGUUCUUGGAGUCAGACCCCUUCAAAUCACUGGGAGAUGGCAAGAGAGCUUCCUCCUCAUAAACCUCCACCAACGGUGCAGGUGAGCCCCAGGCAUGGAAGGGGUUCCCACGACAAGAGUGUAACAGCAAAAAUGAUAGAGAUAUUUUUAUUUCCCUCCGAAGGUGAAAUCAACAACUUGGGGACUUCGGCUUCAACCCUGGACUUACUAAUUCACUAUGCAGACCAUCCUGAGGGUCAAGUAGCUACUACAGGAAGCACUGCUGUGGGGGACGCCAAGCCAAAGAGCAGCAAGCUCUCUCUUAUAGAACACUGCUGAACCCCUGGGGACACUGGCUGGGAUUCCUUGUUCUGCACUGAUUUUUCACUUCUGCCUCCACUGAUGUGAGCACUGGCAUGAAGCAGCCAUCCUGCAGGCCUGACCAAGCAGCCUGCCGGUCUGACCCCUGCAGAGCUCAGAUUUCCUGUGUGAUAAAUGGCUUUUUUCAGUUGCUCUCAGCUCUGACUGCUGUCCUUCCCCCUGACAGGGGAGGCACUGCCAAAUGGGAACUCCCCAGGCAGAGCCUUUCAGUUUGGGUCUGGGGUACUGAGGGGUGCAGAGAAUGGAGAGUUAAUGCUUGGAGAAGUUAUUUCCAAAUGGAAGCUGGGAGCUUCCUGACUGACUGGCCAAACAGCUGUGUGAAAACAGAAGGGAUGUCAACAUUAUGAAUGAAAAUGUAAAAUAUCCUUUGUAACCUGGUCUGCAGGUCUCCUUCCAGACACAACUGAGCUCAAUAAAUUGGUGGUGACCGACCGAGAGAGGCAUGUAGUCCUAGCCUCAGUUCUGACUGUAAUCAGCUGUGUCGACCUUGUUCAAGUCAGUCCUCUGGGCCUCCAUUCCCUCACCAGAAUACCAGUCAUUUUAAUAAACGGACCCAGCAACUAGGUGGUCUCUAUUUUUAGCACGAAGGUGAAGACUGUAUCUGUUGGUAGGGUUAGGGGCUAAGUGGACUAAGGGUUUCAUUUCUCAGGAAAGCAUAUUGGCCAGUGAGGGUCUGUUGGCAUCUGACACGUUGACAAGUUCUCUUAUAUAGAACUAAUGUCCUUUGGGAUCACAUAUGGAGUUUCAAGGAUUGCAGUGAGGACAGGAUGCACCUGUGUACUCUUUCUGUUCCUGAUGAUCAACUGAAAUCUCUCUUCCUUUGACUCUGCUUAGUUGCCCCAAUCGAAAGGUUAGGGGGUCAGCACAGCUUAGCUUCUAGAAUCACAGUGACUUCUGGGCCAGCACCACUUCAAGGAUUUAGGUAUGUUCUGGGCUAGGCCAGUAGAAUCUAUUUUGGGAUUUCCCAGAGCCAUUUAAAGCUUACCCCAGAAUGAAUUCAAGCUCUGAGAGGACAUAUCCUUUCCCUGCCCCCCUGCCCACCCCCCCACUUUUUUUGAGGAAGAUUAAAAAAAGAGUUAUUGAAGCCUAAUGAUUAUCAGGGGUAUGAGGGGAAGGGAGGCGGGAGAGAGAGAGAGGGAGAGAGAGAAGGAGAGAGGGAGGGAGAGAGAGAGAGAGAGAGAGUGUGUGUGUAUGUGUGAUGUGUGCCCACAGUAUGGUAACUUGAGUGAGUGGUGGGAUGGUAUGGGUGGGGGCAUGGAAGAAGGGCGAUGGGAGAAGCACAGGAGUCACAACCAAAGGAAUUCAGAUGGUACUGAUUUUUCCAGACUCUAUGAUGUCUGGCAGGAAAGCCCGCCACUACUGAGGGGGCCUCUAAGGUUAUGAAGUGGAUGGGCUGUUGAAUUCUCAUUUUAUUUUCAGAAAUGCCCCAGGGAAGAUUUUUCUCCCGCCCCUUGGGUACAUACUGAUAUCCUUCGGAAGGACUUGAACUCCAGGUAGGUGAGGUGCUCGGAGAGCUCUUCCGGUUCCAGGUGGUCAAAGAGCAGGGAGACUUUCCGUUUCUUGCUGGUAUUUGAUUUUAUCCUUUGAGUAAGUUUCCUGGACCAGUCACGGGCAUUGCUUUUGUGGGUAAAUGUGAAAGGGAGAAGACAGGGCAAAGGAAUAAAUCGCUUUUUGCAAGUAAAUCCGUUAACAUUUUUCACAAGAAUAUACAAAACACCAUUUGCUAACUUUCCUUGGCCAAAACAGCGCAUUCACAGAGUUUCUCCAAAUCAGUUUUUUCCAUGGCAGCAACCAAGAGGUCUUGCUGGUUUUCCGUGAGCCCUUUAAAUGUGCAGUUGGGUACAGGAGCAAUGAGUUUACUUUAAGGCAGUGGGAAGGAAAGAGCCUCAGGUAUCGGUCAGUUUCCUUGCCUUUGGUCCUGGCCCCUUUGUGUAUCCUGCGGUAUGUGUGCUCCCUCCAUUCCACUUGUGUGUUCCUUCAAUCUCAUGUGAAUGAUAGGGACUAUCUGGUUGGAAAUCCCAAGGUAGUGAGACAGUUUUCAUGCCAGGAAGAGCUCAAAGAACCACAGCGAGAAGAUGUCAUAAAGGGAGGGAAUCACGUGUAGAAACACGUGGUCACUCUUGGCAGAGUUGUGUCAUUCUCCUCAAAUGUCCUCAGCUACUGAAAUGAUCAAGGAAGCCUCGCUGACCCUAGAGUGCUCCCUGCCCCCAUUAUUUUCUUGUAAUCAACCCAUGCAUUUCUUAUUCAGUUUCCUUCACUAAACAAGCAAAGGGAAGUGGCCCCAUUUUGAAAGACAGCAGGUUGCCUGUCUUUUCCAAACUGCGAUUCCUGGGAACCUUGUCUCUUGAUAAAAGGGUUCUGUAGUCAGUGAGCUUGGGAAGUGCUAUAAAUUUUGUAGCCUCUUUGGCCAGUGAGCAUAUUACACACGCUGAAAACCACUGCAAAAGGAAAGUUCAUAACUCAUUAUACCUCAAUUAUAUCUGGCCAAGUAAUAUCCCACAGACUAAUAAUUCCUACAGAAUAUACUGUGGAAAAUUUUGGUCAAGAAAAGUCAGCUAGGAAAUAUUGGGACAGGGAGACCUGGGGUUGAGAAUUGCCCUGGGCUCUAAUUUCAUCUUUAAAAUGAAAAAACUAUUGAAUAAUCUCUUAUCUUUCAAGUUGUGUAAUUUUAAGCAGAGAAGUACAGAGAAUCCAAACUGAUAAACGGACUUAUUUGGGGCUCUGAAAUAUCAUCUUGAAAUCAUUUCUGCGUGGCUGUUGUGCAUCACGGACAGGGCCUCAGAGGCUAGCUGAUGCUCUGUCACUAGCUUAACUAGCUGGACCCCGGAGGAGUCACAUUCUUGCUGAGCCUCAAUUUCCCAGUCAGAAAAAUCAGGAUGUUGGAUGAAAUGAUAUCUAGAAUAUAUUAUCAGUCCUAGAAGUCUAUUUCUUAGGGAUUUGUACUAUUUCAAAAUAAAGCAGCCUCACUGUGAAAACCUUGGCAUACAGUGCAUACAUUCCCCUCCCCCUAAUUAGGAAAGGCACUCAUUUUCCCAGAAGGGGGUCAGUCUUAUAAAUAAGAAUUCCAAGGAAUAAUUUAAAACAUUCCUGGGAUCCCAUCCGGCUCUGGAAGUCUGAAGUGUCUUUCAUAGACAUCCAUAUAUGUUAGAAGCCCUCUCCUGAAUGCAUUUUUUUUUUAGCAGUCCUGUCCCUAUUUACAAGUUCAGGGGUGCCUCCUGGCAUUAAGUGUGAGUUCAGUCAUUUGCACUUUCAGUUUUUCAUGAUCUGGAUUAAUUUUAGUCAAUAUCUUGCUACCUGAUUUCUUUUUGACUGGGACUUACUUUUUCUGCUCUUGGAUAUAAGUCACCUAGUGCUUUAUCACUGUGCAGCUUCUCUGCUUUUCUGUUAAAUGCCAAGCCUUCACUUUGGUGAGGCAGUUUGAACCUGCCUAUGUGAGGGGCUUCUCAGAGUGGCGAAAGAGAGCAGCAGUCACCGCUGGGGGUCAGAAGCCUAGCAAGCAACUGGGAUUAUAUUACAGGAAGGAGGUGGUUUCGAAAAAUGAGUCAAGACCCUGACACUCACAUUUGAGUUGUGUCAAUCAGGCGGCAGUGUAACUCCUCACCCUUAGCUUUCACCAGUUCCUGAAACUCCUCCAUAGUGUCUGUCAAGCUGGCAUCCAUUUUAAACAUGACCCAGAAUUCUGUUAUCCAAUACCUACAAGAAGGGGGUUAAAAAACACAAUCCAAAACUGAUACCUAGGGCUCACAAUGUGUUGGGUUCACAAAGGAAUCUACUGCCACAAAGAGAACUCAGAAAAAGGCAAAGUCUGAUUCAUCUACUAGUAUACUGAAGGAGCUGGGGUGGGAGCAGAGAAGGAAGAAACCUAUCCAUUGAAAACCUUCUGUCCCUCCACACAAAUGCUGUGGUAGGGUAAGGCAUAUCGCAAUCAAAGGAGCCAUGACAAAGAUUCAGGCGCAAUCAUGUGGGUCAGAGAUAAUUACAAAGGACAGAACUAUAGAUAAACUAAAUGUCCCAAAUGAGGCAAUCUAUUCAUAGGUUAUGCUUUAUCAUAUUCGAAUGUUACAUGGCUAUUAAAAAGAAUGUUUACAAAAAGUCUUUAAUGACUAGAGAAGAUUCUCAUGCUAUAAAGUUAAGUGAAAACUAGAGGAUAUAAAGCCGUAUAUAUAUUUUCAUCUCAAAAAAUUGGCAUGAAAACAAGACAAAGGAAAUAUACCAAAAUAGGUAACUGGAUAUGAGUGAUCAUUAUUAUAGUUACAUUCUUUUCUACAUUUUAAAAAAUGUUCUAUAAUAAGCUAUAUUACUUGUAUAAUUAAGAAUAAAAGUAAAGAAAAUGACAGACCUUUAAUUAUUUCUCUGUUCCCUCCUUUAUGUCAUUUGAUACCAAAGACUGAAAAAAGGUUGGUCUAAAAUAAUUAAGCUCAGGUACAUCAGAGAAAAUUCACUGUUAUGAAGGACUGCUCUUUUCCGUCUGUCCAAAGGUGUUCUAUAGGGUCAGGAGAGGCAGGGAAAGUCCCUUGCUUCACCUUUCAUUUCACCUUGCUCCACAGAAUCUUGAAAUACAUAGAAAACAUUACCUUACAAAAUAGCAGAUCUUCAGGCAAAGUCCUGGUGAAUUCUUUGCCAAAGCUUCCUUAUAGGUAGGGCUGUGGUUAAGGGAAAUGGAGGCCUGUUACAGAAAUCAAACGACUUUCCAUCUUUGGAAGUAUCUGCUGAAACUACCUCCCCAAAUAUUUUUUCUAAAAAAUGAAAAUGUGAUGCUUUAUCUUUCUGGCCAAAGGAUAAAAACCAACUUGAUGUGUCCAGCUGUAUGCAUAUUAUCGCCUAGAAAGGUGAUUAUGGUAAUUUUCUCUCCAGCCCAUGUCAACCUGGCUUACGGAAGGAGGCAGCAGCACCGCAGAACUGAGAAAUGAAUACUGUAAAGAGGUCCCAGGACAGGUAACUUAUAAGAAGUGAAGAAGGGGCAAAUGACUCCUUGCCUGUGCUCAAAAAGCAGCCCCUAUGAAGGACAAAUGAAGCAGGAAAAAAAGAAAAAACAGCAGCCCCAUUUAUCUUUUAAAAUGUUUCUUUUAACUGAUACACAUGUAUGCAGUGAAUUCGAAGAGGAAGAAACACAUAUUCAGAUAUGUCAUGAUAAUGAAGAACAAUAAUAUGAAAGUUACAACAUAUACACCUAGAGGAUGUCAGUAGACUGACCUCAUAGAUUGUAACGGCAAGUCGGACAGACCGUGUGAAGAAUCUGAAACAAAACUGGAGAUCACCUUAAGGAUCCUUUGCAUUCUGAGCAUUCCAAGAAUAUGAAAGAAUAGCAAGAUCUCAUCAAGUUCACAUAUCUUUAAAGAUAAAUGGAAGAAAAUAUUCAUUUAUUUUAAGAGUGAAAGAAAUGAGAACUCCAAUGCCAUAAUGAGCCUGAGUAGGUCCUGCCAUUUCCCAUCAACAGACUGAGGCAUCAGGCUGUGUGGGCUGUGUGCCCGUAAAGGCCAUGCCUUGUUUUCCUUCUGAAAACUGCAUAAUGACUACAAUAUAGGGUUCAGUGAAUUCCAGCUGGGCCCAUGAGAGGAAUCCAGUGAACAACCCAGCAAAAAUUUUAAUUAACUGGGACAGGACUGGUCUUCCUUCUGUGGGUGUACGUAUUUUAACCUUUGGAAAAUUUAGAGUUAAAUAAAAGUAAAAGAAUGAAAA